AAUGCAGUGCCCGAACAGGGCGUUGUAAUUGGAAUGAGAACAAUUUAAAUCCCUUAUCGAUUAGCAAUUAGAGGGCAAGUCUGGUGCCAGCAGCCGCGGUAAUUCCAGCUCUAAUAGCGUAUAUUAAAGUUGUUGCAGUUAAAAAGUUCGUAGUUGGAUUUCGGCGUGCGCUCAGGCUGGUCGGCCGUCAAGGUCUGUACCGUUUGGGUCACGCCCCACUGUAGGAUACUCACCGCUGUCCUUAACUGGGUGGCGGUCAAAGGGGGUGUGCAUGGGGGCAACUCUGUGCAUAUCUCUGGGGUUCCUACUCUUUUACUUUGAGCAAAUUAGAGUGUUCAAAGCAGGCAAUCGAGCCUUGAAUACUUCAGCAUGGGAUAAUGGAACAGGACUGGGGUCCUGAUUUCGUUGGCUUCUGGGAUCUCAGUAAUGAUUAAUAGGGAUAGUUGGGGGCAUUAGUAUUUAAUUGUCAGAGGUGAAAUUCUUGGAUUUAUGAAAGACUAACUUCUGCGAAAGCAUUUGCCAAGGAUGUUUUCAUUAAUCAAGAACGAUAGUUAGGGGAUCGAAGACGAUCAGAUACCGUCGUAGUCUUAACCAUAAACGAUGCCGACCAGCGAUUGGGAGACGUUACAUGGAUGACUCCCCCAGCAGCUUGCGAGAAAUCACAAGUCUUUGGGUUCCGGGGGGAGUAUGGUCGCAAGGCUGAAACUUAAAGGAGUUGACGGAAGGGCACCACCAGGAGUGGAGCCUGCGGCUUAAUUUGACUCAACACGGGGAAACUUACCAGGUCCAGACAUAGUAAGGAUUGACAGAUUUGAGAGCUCUUUCUUGAUUCUAUGGGUGGUGUGCAUGGCCGUUCUUAGUUGGUGGAGUGAUUUGUCUGGUUAAUUCCGUUAACGAACGAGACCUUAACCUGCUAAAUAUGUCACUGGUAGACUUCUGCCAAAACAGGUGGGUGUCUAGGGGAAAGUUUCGAUGGACUCCGACGCAUUCAUCUAUGGAUGACUACCAGGAUGUACUUCUUAGAGGGACUAUCUGUAUCAAAGCAGAUGGAAGUUUGAGGCAAUAACAGGUCUGUGAUGCCCUUAGAUGUUCUGGGCCGCACGCGCGCUACGCUGACAAGUUCAACGAGUUUAACACCUUGCUCGAUAGGGCUGGGUAAUCUUUGAAAAACUUGUCGUGAUGGGGAUAGAUCAUUGUAAUUAUUGGUCUUCAACGAGGAAUUCCUAGUAAGCGUGAGUCAUCAGCUCGCGUUGAUUACGUCCCUGCCCUAUGUACACACCGCCCGUCGCUCCUACCGAUUGAAUGAUCCGGUGAAAUGUUGGGAGCUGGGGUCUUUUGGCGGCGGGGCAACUCGUCGUCAGGGAUUCUGCAAACUUCAUUAAACCUUAUCAUUUAGA
rnacentral:rRNA from 1 species